UGCAAUGAUGUUGUAAUUUGCGUCCUACUCUGUUUUCAGUGACAGUUGCCUGCUGUCAGAUGCUGAUUCAGAAGGUUGAUGAAAAUUCAUACUGAGCA